rnacentral:lncRNA from 1 species
UGUCUUCACUUGAUACACGUUUUGGGUAACUUUCCGACGUCUCUGACCUUAUUCCGGUGAGUUUCAGAACCUACGGUUUCCGGUGUUGGACCUAGGGUUUUCUCUGUUGAUUGAAGGCCGAUCUUCUCCCGUCGCGAAGAAGGAGGGUAACUCUGUCCUUAUUUUGAGUAUUGUAUGCUUUGUAUGUGAGUAUCUGGUUCCGUUAUAUUUUGCUUGCC